rnacentral:rRNA from 1 species
ACGUACGCUGGCGGCACGCCUAACACAUGCAAGUCGAACGAAGUAGCAAUACUUAGUGGCAGACGGGUGAGUAACAUGUAGGUAUCUGCCCUUUGGCCUGGAAUAACACGAGGAAACUUGUGCUAAUACCGGAUAAGUCUUUACGGAGAAAGCUUUAUGCACCAUUGGAUGAGCCUGCACUUGAUUAGUUUGUUGGUGGGGUAAUGGCCUACCAAGACUGUGAUCAAUAGCUGAUUUGAGAGGAUGAUCAGCCACAUUGGGACUGAGACACGGCCCAAACUCCUACGGGAGGCAGCAGUGGGGAAUCUUGCACAAUGGAGGAAACUCUGAUGCAGCGAUGCCGCGUGAGUGAAGAAGGCCUUUGGGUUGUAAAGCUCUUUCGUCGGGGAAGAAAAUGACUGUACCCGAAUAAGAAGGUCCGGCUAACUUCGUGCCAGCAGCCGCGGUAAUACGAAGGGACCUAGCGUAGUUCGGAAUUGCUGGGCUUAAAGAGUUCGUAGGUGGUUGAAAAAGUUAGUGGUGAAAUCCCAGAGCUUAACUCUGGAACUGCCAUUAAAACUUUUCAGCUAGAGUAUGAUAGAGGAAAGCAGAAUUUCUAGUGUAGAGGUGAAAUUCGUAGAUAUUAGAAAGAAUACCAAUUGCGAAGGCAGCUUUCUGGAUCAUUACUGACACUGAGGAACGAAAGCAUGGGUAGCGAAGAGGAUUAGAUACCCUCGUAGUCCAUGCCGUAAACGAUGUGUGUUAGACGUUGGAAAUUUAUUUUCAGUGUCGCAGCGAAAGCGAUAAACACACCGCCUGGGGAGUACGACCGCAAGGUUAAAACUCAAAUGAAUUGACGGGGACCCGCACAAGUAGUGGAGCAUGUGGUUUAAUUCGAAGAUACGCGCAGAACCUUACCAACACUUGACAUGUUCGUCGCGACUCUAAGAGAUUAGAGUUUUCGGUUCGGCCGGACGAAACACAGGUGCUGCAUGGCUGUCGUCAGCUCGUGUCGUGAGAUGUUGGGUUAAGUCCCGCAACGAGCGCAACCCUCACUUUUAGUUGCCAUCAUUAAGUUGGGCACUCUGAAAGAACUGCCAGUGAUAAGCUGGAGGAAGGUGGGGAUGACGUCAAGUCCUCAUGGCCCUUACGUGUUGGGCUACACACGUGCUACAAUGGUAUCUACAACAGGAAGCAAGACUGCGAAGUUAAGCAAAUCCCUAAAAGAUACCUCAGUUCGGAUUGCACUCUGCAACUCGAGUGCAUGAAGCUGGAAUUACUAGUAAUCGUGGAUCAGCGUGCCACGGUGAAUGCGUUCCCGGGUCUUGUACACACCGC